rnacentral:rRNA from 1 species
GCAGUAGCCACGGUAAUACGUAGGUGGCAAGCGUUGUCCGGAAUUAUUGGGCGUAAGGGGCUCGCAGGCGGUUUCUUAAGUCUGAUGUGAAAGCCCCCGGCUCAACCGGGGAGGGUCAUUGGAAACCGCGAAACUUGAGUGCAGAAGAGGAGAGUGGAAUUCCACGUGUAGCGGUGAAAUGCGUAGAGAUGUGGAGGAACACCAGUGGCGAAGGCGACUCUCUGGUCUGUAACUGACGCUGAGGAGCGAAAGCGUGGGGAGCGAACAGGAUUAGAUACCCCCGUAGUCCCUGUCUCUUAUAC